UACGUAGGGUGCAAGCGUUAAUCGGAAUUACUGGGCGUAAAGCGUGCGCAGGCGGUGAUGUAAGACAGAUGUGAAAUCCCCGGGCUCAACCUGGGAACUGCAUCUGUGACUGCAUCGCUGGAGUGCGGCAGAGGGGGAUGGAAUUCCGCGUGUAGCAGUGAAAUGCGUAGAUAUGCGGAGGAACACCGAUGGCGAAGGCAAUCCCCUGGGCCUGCACUGACGCUCAUGCACGAAAGCGUGGGGAGCAAACAGG
rnacentral:rRNA from 1 species